GGAAGCGUAGCUCAGCUUGGCGUAGAGCACCGUCCCUAUAAGGCGGCAGUCGGAGGUUCAAAUCCUCCCGCUUUCA
rnacentral:tRNA from 2 species